AUUGAACGCUGGCGGCAGGCCUAACACAUGCAAGUCGAGCGAGAGGCGGACGGGUGAGUAAUGUAUGGGGACUGCCCGAUAGAGGGGGAUAACUACUGGAAACGGUAGCUAAUACCGCAUACUAUCGGAUAACCCAUAUGGGAUUAGCUAGUAGGUGAGGUAAUGGCGCACCUAGGCGCCGAUCCCUCGCUGGUCUGUGAGGAUGAUCAGCCACCAUGGGACUGAGACACGGCCCAGACUCCUACGGAGGCAGCAGUUGGGAAUAUUGCACAAUGGGCGCAAUCCUGAUGCAGCCAUGCCGCGUGUAUGAAGAAGGCCCUAGGGUUGUAAAGUACUUUCAGUCGGGAGGCGUUACCGACAGAAGAAGCACCGGCUAACUCCGUGCCAGCAGCCGCGGUAAUUC
rnacentral:rRNA from 1 species